CACAAGAACAAAAUGGCCGCGUCAAGUUUGAAGGGAGACGAAAAUCGCUAUUUCUUUACGGCAAGUAACCAUAUCUGGAGAUGAUUAUGAAUGAUUUACUCUGCUCCCCCAGUCUUUUUGAUAGCUGUAUUUGCUGGAGGCUCUACUUCAGGGAACAACGUUCAAGAGGCACAUGUGAAAUGU